GGUAUUUGUAGAUGUGGUUGACCAUGGUGUGUACGCUUUAUUUAUGACGUAGGACACAUGGUCUACUUCUUCUCAAUAUC
rnacentral:pre_miRNA from 1 species